rnacentral:rRNA from 1 species
UACGUAGGGGGCAAGCGUUGUCCGGAUUUACUGGGUGUAAAGGGAGCGUAGGCGGGUAUUUAAGUCAGAUGUGAAAACUAUGGGCUCAACCCAUAGACUGCAUUUGAAACUGGAUAUCUUGAGUGCAGGAGAGGAAAGCGGAAUUCCUAGUGUAGCGGUGAAAUGCGUAGAUAUUAGGAGGAACACCUGUGGCGAAGGCGGCCACCUGGUUGGAUACUGACGCUGAGACGCGAAAGCGUGGGGAGCAAACAGG